rnacentral:rRNA from 1 species
AUUGAACGCUGGCGGCAGGCCUAACACAUGCAAGUCGAGCGAAGUGGCGAACGGGUGAGUAAUACGUGGGUAACCUGCCCUCCUUUUUGGGAUAAGCCUUGGAAACGGGGUCUAAUACCGAAUAAAGGGGGACGGGCUCGCGGUCUAUAAGGUUGUUGGUGGGGGGGUGGCCUACCAAGGCGGCGACGGGUAGCUGGCCUGAGAGGGGGGGCGGGCGACAUGGGACAGAGGUACGGCGCAGGCUCCUGCGGGAGGCAGCGUGGGGGGGUAUUGAGCAAUGGGCGGAAGCCCGAUGCGGCGGCACCGCGUCGGAGGGGAAGACUUUCGGGUUGUAAACGUCUUUCGCUAUCGAGCGGGUAGGUGGAGGAGCAGCGCCAGCUAACUACGUGCCAGCAGCCGCGGUAAUUC